ensembl:lncRNA
AUGUCGCUGUUGUCGUCUGGAGCCCGCGGCGGGUUGAGCAGCCGGUGUCCUCGCGCGCCAAACAGCCGGAAAAAAAACUUCGGCAAAAAUGGCGGAAGGUGCAACGUCUCUGAAAGGGUUGCGGGCGCAAAUGGACGUUCCAUCAUUUAUAGCAGAGAAGCGGAUCCAGCUAGAGCUAUAUGGGGCGAAGCAGUCGUGGCAGUAGAGGUGGUGCAACUAUAAAGUCAUGUAAAUAAUCCCGCCCACUCUAAAGCGAUACUAAACUGCAGUGGAAACGCAAACCGUACCGAGCCGAGUCAUACCACGCAGUGGAAAAGUGCCCUUAGCAUGCUGUUAUCUAGCUCUGACACAGUUUGCAUGCAGAAAGGUCAGUCAAACUCGAAACCAACCUAUUAUAUAUGACUCGCCAACUAGUUGAUUUUGAAAAUAUGUAUUUUGGCACAUCACUAUUAUGUAUUAGUAUGUGAGAUUAUGUAAAAUCGCAAUUGUGCCUUCUGUUGAGGCCUAAAUAGUUGGACAGUGCAGGCAUGUUCCUACCCAAGCAUCUGUCCUAGAGACUUCCUGUUGUGCCAAUAACGAGAUGCUCAUGCAGCAAAACGAGAAAGAGAGUGGGGCAAACAGUGAGUGGUAACAGGACCCAACUGAGCACUGACUCUCCCUGACUGCUGGCUCUCCUUGGAUGUGCAUGGCAGGAAAUAGAGAGCAUAGUGUUGGUAUUUGUAUAACCGUUCUUUGUGUUCUGUCAGCCUGAGUGAAUGAAUGUUUGUUAAACAGCCCAUCUUGUCAUCUGAAAGUUUGAACGGUGCAGCUGUUGUCAGAGGGAAUGAUGUAACCCUCAUCUGUUUUUUGUGCAUGUUUUUUCUCAAAAUGUAAUUUAAAUCUCAAUGAUCUGUAGUCAUGGUUUUGGGAACAAUGCAGAUUGGCUUUUGAUUUUGUCUGUGGCUAUGACGUAAGGCAGUAGUGCAGGAUCUGAUAGAUGUGGAUAUGAUACCUGUAUUUUGACACCCAAUAAUCUGGAGUAGGUCUGUGCAAUUAAUCGAAAAAUGGUUUCGAUUUUGAUUUUGGCCUCCAGAGAUUAUGAAAAUACAAUAAUUGAGAUAAAACGAUUAUUGCGCCCCAUUCCACCCCCUUUCGUUUCGUUCCUCCAUAAAAGCCCAAUUUCACAUGCAAAUCAGUAAAAUCAUGUAACAUUACUUUUGCAGAAUGAAACGUGCUUGAUUUAUAGAAGUAUAUUUAUUCAUGUUUUUAAAAGCGUGAAAGAGAACUUGUCCUGCUCCUCAGGAAGAGAUAUGCGCUCAGAGACGGAACAGAACACGGAUGUGUAAAGUCAUCUUUUAGCUCAAGGUGCGCACCUAAACGUUCAAAUACACGCAAAAAUGUGUCAAACUGCGGCACUUAGUGAUUAUUCAUGUAUACCUUCGUCGGUCAUGUAAUAAAUGAACGUAAAGAGUUGAGAAUGAAAAUACG